AUGGACAAUGGACCUAUACAUCACAUCGAUCUUGUGUUGAUAGACAAAGAGGGUAAUGGUAUAAGUGCUGAAAUCCCAGGAAAUCUAGCUGAAGAGAAAGGAUCUAUCAUCAAAGAAAAUGAAAUAUAUGAGAUCAGUAGAUUCACAAUAUCUUCAGCAAGACAAAUGUUCAAACCUGUUCAUAUAGACAAAAUGAUCCACUUCACAUAUCACACAAUUAUUAAGGCAUCACUUGAUUCUCCGUCAACAUUUCCUAGAUAUGUCUAUCAUCUGACUCCAUUGCAUCAAAUCGAAUCCUAUAUUCAAAAGAAUGAAUACUUCCUUGAUGUGCUCGGAGUUAUCACUCAAGUGAGUGCAUUAAAACCAGUUCGGACACAGACCCAGGAAAGCUCAAAUGUCAUAAAAGAGAUCAUCAUAAAAGAUAUCAAUGAUGUCACAAUGAGACUAACCCUAUGGGCAGAACGAGCUAAAGCUUUUAAAUUAGAUGAUGUUUACAAUCCUCUAGAGCAAAAGCCAAUCGUCACACUCUUUGUAGGUUGUUUAGCCAAAAAUUUCCAAGGUGCAUACUUAAAUGGUGGAACAACAUGUAGAUGGUAUUUCAAUCCUGAUAUUAAGGAAGCCGCUCCGUAUUAUCAAAGGUUUGGAUCUCAAAAAAUAAAACUACAAAUACCAUCAGAGCAGGAACAACAACUAUCUGUUGCAAAAGAAACACAUGUAGAACACAAAACCUUGCAUGAGCUUCUUACGUUGGAUCCAUAUGCAUUUCCGCUUGCACCAAAUGCAGUCGAGCAUGUAGACCACAAGAUGUUGGUUACUAUUGAUCCUACUGUAAAUCAGAAGCGUACACACUAA